rnacentral:rRNA from 1 species
GUGGGGAAUAUUGCACAAUGGGGGAAACCCUGAUGCAGCGACGCCGCGUGGAGGAUGAAGGUCUUCGGGUUGUAAACUCCUUUUCUUGGGAAAGAUAAUGACGGUACCCAAGGAAUAAGCCACGGCUAACUCUGUGCCAGCAGCCGCGGUAAGACAGAGGUGGCGAGCGUUGUUCGGAAUUACUGGGCUUAAAGGGCGAGUAGGCGGUGGAACAAGUCUGAGGUGGAAUCUUAGGGCUUAACCCUAAAACUGCCUUAGAAACUGUUUUACUUGAGUCAGUGAGGGGAGGGCGGAAUUCCUGGUGUAGCGGUGAAAUGCGUAGAUAUCAGGAGGAAGGCCUGUGGCGAAGGCGGCCCUCUGGCACUGUACUGACGCUGAGGCGCGAAAGCGUGGGGAGCAAACAGGAUUAGAAACCCCUGUAGUCC